rnacentral:rRNA from 1 species
GAUGAACGCUGGCGGCGUGCCUAAUACAUGCAAGUCGAGCGAACAGACGAGGAGCUUGCUCCUUCGACGUUAGCGGCGGACGGGUGAGUAACACGUAGGUAACCUACCUAUAAGACUGGGAUAACUUCGGGAAACCGGAGCUAAUACCGGAUAAUAUUUCGUACCGCAUGGUUCGAUAGUGAAAGAUGGCUUUGCUGUCACUUAUAGAUGGACCUGCGCCGUAUUAGCUAGUUGGUAAGGUAACGGCUUACCAAGGCAACGAUACGUAGCCGACCUGAGAGGGUGAUCGGCCACACUGGAACUGAGACACGGUCCAGACUCCUACGGGAGGCAGCAGUAGGGAAUCUUCCGCAAUGGGCGAAAGCCUGACGGAGCAACGCCGCGUGAGUGAUGAAGGUCUUCGGAUCGUAAAACUCUGUUAUUAGGGAAGAACAAACGUGUAAGUAACUGUGCACGUCUUGACGGUACCUAAUCAGAAAGCCACGGCUAACUACGUG